UUGAAAGGGAAACGAUUGAAGUCAGUCAUGCCGGUGGGAAUCAACUUAGGGGAAACUCUAGGUGCACUUCUUCGCUUGGCAGGUCAACGUCGAUUUUGAAUGUCAUAAAAUGAUUGGGGGAAGGUAGCUCCUUCGGGAGUGUUAUAGCCCUUGGUAGAUGUGAUGUCUGGGAUCGAGGAUUGCAACGGAUACCCUUUAGGGCUAGCCGCCUGAUCUCUAAUUGAUACUGGGUUACGGACAGCAUGCUGACCGUGAUCUAAUUAUUGGUUAAAAGGUUAGAGCGAGUGUAAAUUCGUUAAGGAUGUUGACGUA
rnacentral:rRNA from 1 species